rnacentral:rRNA from 1 species
CAGUCGCCGCGGUAAUACGUAGGUCCCGAGCGUUGUCCGGAUUUAUUGGGCGUAAAGCGAGCGCAGGCGGUUAGAUAAGUCUGAAGUUAAAGGCUGUGGCUUAACCAUAGUACGCUUUGGAAACUGUUUAACUUGAGUGCAAGAGGGGAGAGUGGAAUUCCAUGUGUAGCGGUGAAAUGCGUAGAUAUAUGGAGGAACACCGGUGGCGAAAGCGGCUCUCUGGCUUGUAACUGACGCUGAGGCUCGAAAGCGUGGGGAGCAAACAGGAUUAGAUACCCCGGUAGUCCCUGUCUCUUAUACC